rnacentral:rRNA from 1 species
AAUACAACUUUCAACAACGGAUCUCUUGGCUCUCGCAUCGAUGAAGAACGCAGCGAAAUGCGAUAAGUAAUGUGAAUUGCAGAAUUCAGUGAAUCAUCGAAUCUUUGAACGCACAUUGCGCCUUUUGGUAUUCCGAAAGGCAUGCCUGUUUGAGUGUCAUAAAAACUCUCAU